AAGCGGGGACUAAAACUCAAAACUUUCACACUUAGAAAAAAAAAUUGCGCCCAACCCCAAAACUAAAACUUGAAAAAGUGAACAAUUUCUCUGAAACUUUCGAACCCUAAUGACUCUCACUCCUUCCAAACCCUAUCUCUCUCCCUUCCCCCCGACUCUCACUUUCUCUCUCUAUAAACUAUGGAGAAUAUGAUGAACAAGCUACGGACCAAGCCCCAAAUUCAACGAAGAUUUCUACAGCGGUACCCUCCCCGGCGGCGUCAUCAAUCUCGCCUCCUCCAUCGUUAUGCUUCUGCUCUUCUCCGAGGUCGUACCACAGCAUCCCUUAUUCCUCUUUUCCCUCUCUCUCUCUCUCUCUCUCUCUCUCUCUCUCUCUCUCUCUCUCUGUGUCUAAUCAAAAAGGGGUUCUGAAACGCGCUGAGCCUUCCUCACCGCCUCCGACUCUCCGAUCCCUCUUCGACUUGGUUUAUGAGAUGACAACAGCAAUAGCUAUUGAAGAUGUCCGUAGAGAGGUAAAAAUACUGAAAGCAUUAUCUGGACAUGAGAAUCUGGUCAGAUUUUAUGAUGCAUUUGAGGAUGCCAAUAAUGUCUACAUAGUCAUGGAGUACGUGUAAUUUUUCUUUUAGUCUUAUUUCUUCACAUCAAUUUAUAGGAGUCAGCCUUGUUGGGACAUCAUUUGUAUUGUUGUUGAUGGUUUAGUUUUAUGAACACACACACAUAUAUUAAGCCUAGUCUUAGAACUGAGAAGAAUGAGAAGUCUUACAGAUUGAUAUGCAGGAAGAGCACACAGCAUUGUUGUAGCUGAGAGGGUCGUACUGACUUUUAUGCAGAGGAUGAGUGGAGUAGCAACUAUAACUAUGGUACCCAUGUCUGUGUUGCAACUAGCUCUUUCUGGGGAUUUUUUUUCUGCAUGUCUGUGUAUUAGAGCACUUAUAUAAAACUAGCCCUCUCAUUUUUUCAUUUUCCCCGAAGACCUGAUGCAUAUCCAAGUACUCCAAGUAAUGAUUUUCUGUAUCUUUAAAGAUUGCACAGUUGUGUCUUGUUUCUAAUUCCUCUGCCCUUUAUUUACAGGCUAAAUCAGCAGUUCCACUGUCAAAGACAAAGAUUCAGGUGUAGGCCGCUGGGAGUUCUAGAAAAGGUCAGAACGGGGAGCCAGGGUCCGGCCGCAUUAACUACUCUCAUGAUAUUGCAGAUCCUACUCUGCCACAUAACUCACAGAUAGCUGUCUUAUAUCGUCCUUCUGUUACACAUUUGCUGGCAGUUCUGGCUACAGUUUGUGAGGAGCUUUCAUCUGAUGGAGUUGUCUUGAUAUAUCUAUCCGCUUCAGGUUCUGGAAUGUACUCUGAUGCGACAUCUGAUAGACUAAAUCCUUCUUGCGGACAAAGUAAAGGAGAUGACUCAAGCUUACAUGCUAGUGGUUUAAACUUUGGGAGCCAUGGAAAUGGAGUUUAUGAUACUGCAAUCAACAGGAAGAGGACAUGAAACGCGCUGAGCCUUCCUCACUGCCUCCGACUCUCCGAUCCCUCUUCGACUUGGUUUAUGAGGUUGCAGAUGAACUUGUAGGAGAGUUUUCUGACCCUAUCAAUGGUGUCACAUCCCCUGAUCAAAUUGACGAGGUGCGCAUUGAAGUGGCUGAUUAUAUACAGAGUUUGAUGUAGGAAUGUGACUGCCAAGAUGUUUUUUGAGUAAGGCUAGCUAGUUUUGGCUUUGAAGCAAAGCUUGGUGUGGAACUUUUGUACAUUGUUGCUCAUAUUUUUCCAAGCUAGCUUUUGUAAGUUUAGGGGUUUAUUUUGGCUCAUUAUGUUGAAUCAUGAAUUUGGAAAGAACAUUAAUGGAAAGCCCCUAAUUUUGGAUGAUGAGAAA